CAGCACCUCAAGUGGUCAGGAUGAUUAUUGGGCCUAAAGCAUCCGUAGCCGGCGCUGUAAGUUUUCGGUUAAAUCUGUACGCUCAACGUACAGGCUGCCGGGAAUACUGCAGCGCUAGGGAGUGGGAGAGGUAGACGGUACUCGGUAGGAAGGGGUAAAAUCCUUUGAUCUAUUGAUGACCACCUGUGGCGAAGGCAGUCUACCAGAACACGUCCGACGGUGAGGGAUGAAAGCUGGGGGAGCGAACCGGAUUAGAUACCCGAGUAGUCC
rnacentral:rRNA from 1 species